rnacentral:rRNA from 1 species
UGAUCAGCAUGCCGCGUGUGUGAAGAAGGCCUUCGGGUUGUAAAGCACUUUCGUUGGGGAAGAGGCUUGUCUGGUUAAUACCUGCGGUCGAUGGACGGUACCCGAAGAAUAAGGACCGGCUAACUACGUGCCAGCAGCCGCGGUAAUACGUAGGGUCCAAGCGUUAAUCGGAAUUACUGGGCGUAAAGCGUGCGCAGGCGGUUGUGCAAGACCGAUGUGAAAUCCCCGAGCUUAACUUGGGAAUUGCAUUGGUGACUGCACGGCUAGAGUGUGUCAGAGGGGGGUAGAAUUCCACGUGUAGCAGUGAAAUGCGUAGAGAUGUGGAGGAAUACCGAUGGCGAAGGCAGCCCCCUGGGAUAACACUGACGCUCAUGCACGAAAGCGUGGGGAGCAAACAGGAUUAGAUACCCUGGUAGUCCACGCCCUAAACGAUGUCAACUAGUUGUUGGGGAUUCAUUUCCUUAGUAACGUAGCUAACGCGUGAAGUUGACCGCCUGGGGAGUACGGUCGCAAGAUUAAAACUC